rnacentral:rRNA from 1 species
UUGAUCCUGGCUCAGGGUGAACGCUGGCGGCGUGCCUAAGACAUGCAAGUCGUGCGGGCCGUGGGGUAUCUCACGGUCAGCGGCGGACGGGUGAGUAACGCGUGGGUGACCUACCCGGAAGAGGGGGACAACCUGGGGAAACCCAGGCUAAUCCCCCAUGUGGACACAUCCUGUGGGGUGUGUUUAAAGGGUUUUGCCCGCUUCCGGAUGGGCCCGCGUCCCAUCAGCUAGUUGGUGGGGUAAAGGCCCACCAAGGCGACGACGGGUAGCCGGUCUGAGAGGACGGCCGGCCACAGGGGCACUGAAACACGGGCCCCACUCCUACGGGAGGCAGCAGUUAGGAAUCUUCCGCAAUGGGCGCCAGCCUGACGGAGCGACGCCGCUUGGAGGAGGAAGCCCUUCGGGGUGUAAACUCCUGAACCCGGGACGAAACCCCCGAUGAGGGGACUGACGGUACCGGGGUAAUAGCGCCGGCCAACUCCGUGCCAGCAGCCGCGGUAAUACGGAGGGCGCGAGCGUUACCCGGAUUUACUGGGCGUAAAGGGCGUGUAGGCGGCCUGGGGCGUCCCAUGUGAAAGGCCACGGCUCAACCGUGGAGGAGCGUGGGAUACGCUCAGGCUAGACGGUGGGAGAGGGUGGGUGGAAUUCCCGGAGUAGCGGUGAAAUGCGCAGAUACCGGGAGGAACGCCGAUGGCGAAGGCAGCCACCUGGCUCACUUGUGACGCUGAGGCGCGAAAGCGUGGGGAGCAAACCGGAUUAGAUACCCGGGUAGUCCACGCCCUAAACGAUGCGCGCUAGGUCCUUGGGGUUUGCUGGGGGCCGAAGCCAACGCGUUAAGCGCGCCGCCUGGGGAGUACGGCCGCAAGGCUGAACUCAAAGGAAUUGACGGGGGCCCGCACAAGCGGUGGAGCAUGUGGUUUAAUUCGAAGCAACGCGAGANCUUACCAGGCCUUGACAUGCUAGGGACCUGGGUGAAAGCCUGGGG